CCUCUGCAAGAUGAUGAAGUUCUUUCAUACCUCUUCACUGGGCUUGACUCUGAGUACGAUCCCAUUGUGACCUACCUCACAACCAGAUCGGAUCCACUCAGCCUCGACCGAAAUUUAUGCUCAUCUUCUCACCUUUGAGA